rnacentral:rRNA from 1 species
ACGGAUCCUUCGGGAUUAGUGGCAGACGGGUGAGUAACGCGUGGGAAGCUACCUUGUGGUAGGGGACAACAGUUGGAAACGACUGCUAAUACCCUAUGAGCCCUAUGGGGGAAAGAUUUAUCGCCAUGAGAUGUGCCCGCGUUAGAUUAGCUAGUUGGUAAGGUAAUGGCUUACCAAGGCGACGAUCUAUAGCUGGUCUGAGAGGAUGAUCAGCCACACUGGGACUGAGACACGGCCCAGACUCCUACGGGAGGCAGCAGUGGGGAAUAUUGGACAAUGGGGGCAACCCUGAUCCAGCCAUGCCGCGUGUGUGAUGACGGCCUUAGGGUUGUAAAGCACUUUCAGCAGUGAAGAUAAUGACAUUAACUGCAGAAGAAGCCCCGGCUAACUUCGUGCCAGCAGCCGCGGUAAUACGAAGGGGGCUAGCGUUGUUCGGAAUCACUGGGCGUAAAGAGUACGUAGGCGGACUGAUAAGUUAGGGGUGAAAUCCCAAGGCUCAACCUUGGAACUGCCUUUGAUACUGUCAGUCUUGAGAUCGAGAGAGGUGAGUGGAACUCCGAGUGUAGAGGUGAAAUUCGUAGAUAUUCGGAAGAACACCAGUGGCGAAGGCGGCUCACUGGCUCGAUACUGACGCUGAGGUACGAAAGCGUGGGGGAGCAAACAGGAUUAGAUACCCUGGUAGUCCACGCCGUAACGAUGAAUGCUAGUUGUCAGGUAGCUUGCUAUUU